GCCCACGUGGCUCAGGGGUUGAGUGUCAGUCUACGAACCAGGAGGUCAGGGUUCGAUUCCCAGUCAGGGCA
rnacentral:tRNA from 1 species